ensembl:lncRNA
GUCUUUUAUCCACCGCAGUACCUAGCCAAGGUACAUAUCCUCAGGUACAGCCACCUCAAAAAGAAAGUCCCAGGCAUAUUGCUAGGCCAAUCGUUACCUCUAAUCCAGCACAUCGUCCCAAAGUAAGGCCAUGGGUGCCUCCGGACCAUAGUGCCGACCAGAGAAAGGAGUUUAGACCCAAAGACUCUAGAUCCAGAGACUCUCGAUCCAAAGACUCCAGACCUGGUCCUCCCCAUCAACCCCAUCAUUCCGAACACAGCUCAACAGAAAAGUCACACAAAGAUCUCACACACAAGCUUGAAGCCAAAAACUCUGAAACCACAAGCAAGCAAAGGUUUAACUUACCUUCAAACCCCAUUUCAAAGCAUUCGUCAAAGCAAAGACCAAGCGUUAGCCCAAAACCACAAGCCAGGCACUCAUCUACAACUGACCAUAGUAUUGAACACAAUCACAGAAGCAAUGAACCUGCAGGAGUGUCAAUCCACAGUUCACACUCCAAAUCAGGCCAUUCAUCUCAUUUUAAUACUCUAAAGAGUUCCGACCGUGGUCCCUCGUCAAAGUCCAGGGACUCAUCCCAAAGCGAAGUCAACAGUCGAUCUAGUCACAGCUCGAAGACUAAAUCUUUCCCAGAUACAAAGCAGUCCAGCUCUAAACAGACUUCCCAACAGAGUUCCAGUCCAAAGCCCAAGGUCAAAUUAGGGGAUGCCCCAGUGCCCAGAACCGGGCAUUUCCAAAAAGACACAAAGCCCAGAGAGAGAGAGCGAGAGGUGGGCAACCGAGGUAAGGCCCAGGGAGCAACCCUGGUGCAGACCAGCAAGGAGCAGAGACAAAGACUGGCGCAGGAGCAAGUAAUAAGGCGUCGCUGGGUUCGGAGUUCUGAGGAAGAGGAAGACAAGGAAGAUAGGAGAACCGAGGAAAGGGAAAGAGAGAGGAAGCGGAGGAGGAGGAGGGAGCAGGAAGUUGAAUGGAAGGCAGUGCAGCCCAAGCAAAGACCUCACACCAACAGCCAGCAUCACGCUCAAAAGGAAUACAAUGGACUUAACCUUGAGGAGCAGAGAAGGAAGAAGAGAAGGUGGAGCAAUGAGGACAUUUCCUCAGGUCCUCAUGUGACAGACACUAGCCUUUCUCCUCCACUUUCUCCACCUUCCCCUACUCCUGUCAUCAAGCCCACUCGUCCAUCAUCUUCCUCGUCCUCAUCAUCCUCAUCUUCCUCAUCAUCUUCCUCCGAAUCAGACUCUGAGUCCAGUCCACCCCAGAAUGUUGCCAAAGUCCCUGCAGAUUCAACAUCAAACCAAAAAGCUGUGUCAAAAAGGAGGCAUGACAAACAGACUUCAGGCACUGGUGCUCAACCCCACGGGUCGAGCAUAAGCACCCCUGAGAUAGAUAAACAAGGUCGGGGCAGACACAAACUCUACACACUGGUGCCUUUCGGCCGAUCUGAAAAGUCCCCCAACGUCGCACAUCGAGGCCUGAGAAAACUUGUUGUGAGGAUAGACCUCUCGCUUCUGGGUAGAGUCCCUAGUGCAGAUGAGAUUACCGAGGGACAGUCCUCAUCUUCAGCUUUGUCAUCGGGAAAGGCAAAAGAAAAGACAUCAAUGAAACACCUGCACCGCUUGGACCAACUGCCUGGAGAUGGCAG